rnacentral:lncRNA from 1 species
CAUUGUGACGCCUAUUAUUGGUUUUAAGGAUCUUUGCUUGCAAGCAAAUUACGGAAAUACUGUGUGGAUAGAGGAGUGUGUGACCAACAAAAUUACACAAAAAUGGGCAAUUUAUUCAGAUGGUACCAUACGGCCUAAUGGGAACAAAGACAACUGCCUCACUUGGGAAUCAUAUCCAAGAGGAGAAAAUGUGGUGAUUGAUCCAUGUGAUGGCGGAGCUGGUCAACGCUGGCAGUUUAAUAUUGAUGGCACCAUUUCGAAUUUGGACACUGGGCUCGUGAUGGAUGUGAAAGGGUCUGAUUUAAACCUUCGCCAAACAAUUGUCUGGACCUUCACUGGUAAUCAUAACCAGAUAUGGCUAGCAUAGCUUCUUUGAGUUUAUGUACAGUGAUUAAAUAAGUGACAUAUCACAUGUAAUAUUAUAUUUAAGUUAUUUGCUUGUGUGUGUAUGGUGAAUUGCCGGUGGAAAUUAAAGUUUUAAGGUACAAUAGUAGUAUCUUUAAUUAAGUUGGAUGAAAUAAUUGUAAUGUAGUAGUUAAAGAGAGAAGUUGAAGUUUGUUGCAAUAGAUCUACGUGAACUUGUAAGUUGAUUGAGUAUGCUGGAGUAGUUAGAAUAAAGUUAAUUUUGGUCCAUUGAUUAAUACAGUGUCAUAAGUAGGUUGAUCAAUCUCUCUGCAUGUCGGCAUUGUAUUGGUCAAUUAAACAACUUAUCAUAAAGUUAACUUUAUGGUAAUCGGAUCUCAAUAUGGCAUACUGUGGUGGAAAAAUAAAAUAAAAUAUUACAUUUACAAUUAAAUAAAAAUCUUCUUAAAAUAAAAUUAAACAAGAUAAUUAAUUUUUUUUUAAUUUUAUAGUAUAUUAAAAUUAAAACAAAUUUAGUAAUUAUUAACCUAUUAAGCAAAUUAAACAAAUAAAAUAUAUUAAAAAUGUCAACUUAAUAAAUUAAUUGAACAAAUUAACCUUAUUAUAUAAAGUAAACAUAAAUAAUUAAGUAAUCUAACAAUAACAAUAAAUAUAUGAAGGCCACAAAAUUGUAAACAACUAUUGUCAUUUAUGCUCCUGCAUCAUCUCACCAUCGUCCUAGUAGGUUCACCCACAAAGAAUAAGGCUUAUUCCCAGACUUAUUUUUCCUCUUCUUCAUAUUUCUGAUCCUAGAUAGGUUCACUCACCAAAAAGAAGGCAGCUAAGCAAAACAUCAAUCACAGAUUCUUAUAUAUACAUAUAAAAAUAAAUAUAAUUACUCAACCAGUUGCUAGAAGAACUAUUACAACAACCAUCAUUUCCAUCGUUGAUCAACAUAUUUAAUGACUAAGAUUAAAAAAAUAUAUGUCCCAACCGCUACAAACUGUAGCGGCAUUAAAAACACUUGUAGCGGCUCGAGCAGUUACUAAAAGGCCCCUCAUAUAAUUAUUAUAUUAUUCCCAUCAAAUAAUGUCAUGGCGCUACAACAUGCAUGUAGCGGUUGGCUUAUGCUUGAAUCCCGAUAUAUUGCUUCAUCUUGUAAUAUUAUAUUAUUACUAGGUGAUAGCCCAUGCAAUGCAUGAGCUAGUUUAAAAAAUAGAUUGAAUAAUUUGUUAAAUAUACAAUUAGAAUGAUAUUUUUUAUAUAAAUUUUCAAUAAUUGAAGAUAGGAAGAGCAAUUGUAUAUAAUUAAGAAGGAGAUGUAAUGAAAAAUAACACAUAAAGGGGGUUGCUUUAGUUGUGCAGAGCACCAUAAUUCAUAUAGUGAAAAGUACGUUGAUAGGCAAACCUCACUGCAUGUUUUCACGUUAAUCCAACUUACACCCUGGACAAUUCUCAUAGUAAUCAUUUUUUUAGUGCAUACUUAAACUCCUCCUGUGACGCCCCUAAAAUAGGUAUACAUCACCCAUCUUGGGUCGCCAAAAACUUGUUGUUCGUUUUAUAAAAUGACAAAUACGCGCAAGUGCACACGGUCAGUAAAGUAAUAAUGAAGUAAGAAGAGUGUCGAACCCACGNNNNNNNNNNNNNNNNNNNNNNNNNNNNNNNNNNNNNNNNNNNNNNNNNNNNNNNNNNNNNNNNNNNNNNNNNNNNNNNNNNNNNNNNNNNNNNNNNNNNGGGGAACAGUCAAUAACAAUUAUUCUAAUUAUCCAAUUUCUACUGAUUUAUCCUAUUUAAACAAUCAUUCCAGUUGAAUUGUGAAAAUUAAUUAAAAUGAAAGUAAUUAAGAACUAUGAAAUUGACAAAGAUUGAGUACCAAGUGAUUAAGACAUAGGAAUACAAUUUCCCCAAUUGCUUUGCAAUAAUUCUCUUACCUUUUUCCCACUUGAUUUUAUCCAACAAAUUGACAACUAAGAUUGCCUCACGAUUUACUAACACCUUUCAAUGAUUAAUAAAAAUAUAUAUUCUAGUUAUUUUGUUUUUUUCAUGCAAGACACUUAAAAACAUAUUCAUAAAGUUCAAACUCCCAUCACAAUUGCGCAUGCCAUAAAAGUACUUUCGUCUCAUACGUUAUUAUGUUAUCUUAUAAAGAAUCAACAAGUUCAUGCGUUAUUAUAUAUGCAUAUCUAAUAUAAGAUUUUCUCUUUCAAUUCAAUCAAAGUUAUUAGAUUAAUUUUUGGCCAAACAAUUAUUAAAUUAAGCACAUAAUAUAAUAAUCAAUUCUAAAGAAUCAUCAAGUACUGAAAAUAAUGAUAAUUGAAUUAAAGCUUUGCAAAAAUGUUCCAUUAAUUUUACCCCUAAUUGGGAAAUUAGUUCAUCAUCAUAAUAAAGACAAGAAGAUUAAAAUUAAAUAACAUUUCAAGUACAGAUAAUGAAAUUAAGAAAAGAAGAAAAAACUCUGUCGAAUAAUCUCCAAUCUCUAAAUCUUCAAUCUCCUUCUUGUGUGUUCUUUAACAAAAUCUCCAAGCUCCAAUAGAAGUGGCUCCCAAUGAAUUAUCAGUCAAAAAGUUCCUCCUCCCUUAAACCCUAGUAAACAACUAACACUUAUAGUCCUAACAAAAACCCUAUUACAUAAGGGAAGUCCAAAUCCUCCACUAAGUCAACUUCUGCUUUAAAGGAAAUAAAAUCAACAUUAAAUUCGUCAGACUGGCGCACCCCCCAUCCCGAUUCCUUCACUAAGCGGUGUGGCCCGCGCUAGGUAUACAAUGUUUCUCUUCAGCUCGGCGCGCCCCGCGCCUGCCAUAGAGCAAAAGUAGUGCGCCUCGCGCCAUUCUGUUAGUGUGUGUAAAUCUUCUUGAUUUUCCUGCAAAUCAUACAAAAAUCAUCAAAAGUAACAUGCAACACUCAAGAAUUAACAAUAUACGAAGCCUAAAAAUACCAGAUUUGUGGGUCUGUAACCCACUCAUCAACUUUUAAAAAUUAAUUUUAAACAUUUUUAAACUCAAAAAUUCAAAUGAUUCAUUAAUAAUUAUGAAAUUACAUCUCUUACAAUAAGUGGUAUUUUUUAGAUAGUUUACAAUAAUUAUUAUUGUACUGAUUAAAAUUAUUAAAAACCAUGUUAGUUUUAAGUUUAAAAAUAUUUUAAAAUUUAAAAAAUUAGUAAUAAUCUUAUAUUUUAAAACAGAGAGAAUAUUUGAAUAAUUACUCUCUCAAAUAGACAUGAUAGUGUGGGCAUUAUCCCCCCAUUAUCCGCCGUAUCUAAUGGUUUGAUCAUGUAAACUUUAAUACUCCAUCAGUUACGUAAAAGAGUCUUUAUCUACAAAAUUUAUAAAUAUUAUACAUGCAUCUAUCAUUUUAGGUUUACCCUUUAAAAGAAUAAUUUGUUACUUAAAUAACACUAACAUGAUAGUAAAAUUAUGAUAAAAAUUUCAAACAUAUUUUAUCAUUUUAUAAUACUAUGAAUAAAAAGAGAAUAAUUUAUCUAAAACUAAUUUGUUUGACAAAUAAAACUCAUUUUAUAAAACAGAGAGGGUAUAUAUGGCAACAAAUUUAUUUCAAUAUUAGAAACCGACACAGGUGGAUACACAUGAUAUCAUGUACUCCCUUCGUCCCUUAAUAUAAGACUUUUUAGAGUUGUGCACAAGUAUUAAAAAAAAUAAUUGUAUAUCAUUAAAUAUAAUACAACCUCUAUUCUUAAAAGAUUGUCGUUUAAGAUUUUUGUACAUGGAUUAAGAAAGUCAUUUAAUACUAUUAUUUAACGAUUAAAAUUUGUUUGAAAUUCUAUCGCUAUAACUUUAUGGAAAGUUAAAAACUAUUAAUACAAGGGAGAGAAUAUCUUGGGAUAAUGAAAGAAGGUAGCGGUGAUAUAGGAAAAUAAAUAAUUUAAAUUAUUAAUACAAAGGAGAGAAUUUCUUGGGAUAAUGAGAUAAGGUAGCGGUGAUGAGAGAAGAUCUUCUGUCCCCAUUUCCCCUGUCCCCUUGUGUCCCCCCACUUAAAUUUUGACACCUGCCCUUUUAUUUAAUUUUAAAAUUAAUUGGUGUUAAGUAAGAGACUAGGUGUCAAAAUUUAAGUGGAGAGACACAAAGGGACAGGAAAAAUGGGGACAGAGGAUCUGCUCUCAACAGUGAUAUAGGAAAGUAAAUAAUUUAUUUUUCUAGAAAGUUGUAAACGACAAAUAAAUUGGAACACAUUUUUUCUUCUAAAACGACAAUCUUUUAGGAACGGAGGGAGUAUCAAAAUGUCUAUAUUGUUUUGUAUUAAAAAAAGAGAUUGUUAUUUAUUGGGCAAAAAAUAAUGAGAGAACCAAAGUUAUAUUUAAUAUUUGGGAUGAUAUUGAAAACUAAACAAUUAAUACUUACUUGGAAUUCUAAAACGUUAUAUAUUAAGGGACAAAUUUUUUUCUCUAAAACAUCUUAUAUUAAGGGACAGAGGUAGUACUAACGAAAGGGUCCAUACAUUAUUAUUCAAAUCAAGAUAUAAACUUAUAUUCCCUCCGUUCCUUAAUAUAAAUCAUUUUAGAAAAAUUAUUUUUGUUCUUUAAUAUAAGUCGUUUGAGAAUUUCAAGUAAGUAUUAAUUACUUAGUUUCCAAUAUUAUCCUAAGUAAUAAAUAUAACUUUGGUUCUCUCACUAUAUUUUUUUACCCAAUAAAUAACACUCUUUUUAUCAAAUACAAAGGCAAUAUAGACAAUUGAUAUUAUAUUUAAUGUUAUAUAAUUAUUUCCUUAAUACGUGUGCACAACUCUAAAAUAAUUUAUAUUAAAAAACGGAGGGAGUACAUUAUUAUUCAAAUCAAGAUAGAAAGGAUCCAAACAGAUUAAUAUUAGAUACCGACACAUGAUUUACACGAAUAUUGUUGUUCUGGCUAUUGGCUUUCCUGCCUAAAAUUUUUGCAAUAGAUAACUCCAUAAAAGCAAGAUAUAAACUUAUCCGUAAUAACAAAAUAUAGUUCCCCAAUAAUGGUAGUUUUUUCCUCAAUAUUAGUAGGUUUUUCUUCUUUUUUGGGCCUAAGAAUGCUACGACCAUAUGUGGAUUGCAUCAUAUUUAGGAGGAGAGGAAAUUGUAGAAUAACAAAUAAGGUCACUGGUAGAAGAGCCAAUCCGACGAUUGGAAUAAGAAUCCAAUUGUUUUUCUGGGCGAAAACAAGACAGAGUGUUGCACUAAAGGAUAUAAUCAUGGAUGUUAUAGAAAAGAAAAGGGCAACCAGACCCAUUAUUAAUCUAUUUGGCAAGGAAUAGAGAUGAUCAAUGGUUGCAUAGCGCGAGAUGAGGAUGGAUAAAAAUAUCAACAAGGUGCAAAUAGAUGAAAAUAAUGCGAGUGCAUUUGAUAUUGCAAAUAUAAUAUAGGCCGCUCCACCAGAGAAUAUUGGGGUUCCGACGUCUUCUUUAUUACCUCCCGGUAUUGUGAUUGCUGCUGCAAAUGCUAUUGUAGCAAUGAUUGUUGUUGCAACUGUACAUGAAUUUGACAUGCCAAUCAUCCAUUGCCCUUCGUAUACCUCCAUAUCCUUGUGCUCCUUUUGAAAUACCUCUAGAGGCGUCAUCCCUUCCUCAUUCUUCCUGUUUUUAAGUUCCGGCAGCACAUGCCUUUCAACUUCCUGUAUUAAAUCAAGUGCAUUUCGAAUAAGAGUGCUAGCUGUUAUUGCUCAAUUAAUAAACACAUGAGGAAUUACCAAAAAAAAAACAAGACAAAAGAAUAUAGUAGUAUUAUUUUUAUUUUUAAAUAAGUCAUCCUUUGUGCAUGUAACAAUUAAUCUUCCGUACGUCUGCUUGUCAGAUUGUUUAACUAAUUCAAUAAAAUAUAGUACGACUUUGGAACAGAAAGAUACAAUUUUCUUGUGGUCUAGUAAGCAAUUAAUUACCUGAAACCACUGCAACUCGCGCUGCAUCUGUAGAACUGCACUAGAAACAAGGUCGAGUUGGUAUUGCUUCGCUCUAUAUCCAGCAAAAUGCAACAUAUUGUUACCCUUGCUGUCCAAGAACGUUGAUACGAAGCCAAAGGAUUCUCCAAUUAGACCAUAAAUGACAUUGAACACAUUAUCAUGACGGUACAUAACUGCAAGAUGGAGAGCAGUGCGCUAAUCUUUGUCAACAUAAUUAAUUACAUUGGGAAAUGACUUCAAAAUCUCUUCUACAACUUCCAAAAUUCCAUAUUGUGCCGCUAAGAGUAAGGAAUCACUAAAUAUUGCUAAAGCUUGGUCGGACGAUAAGCGCAUGACUCCCUCGCAAGAGCAUCGCAGGAGUUCCAUUGCUUGAAGAUGCAACACUUUCAUCCUUCUAAUAUUCUUGAAUUGUGGCACUGCAAUGAUAUUAAUGAACUCAAGAAUUACUAAAAAUUAUAAUCAAUGUCUGUGCUAUAAUUACAAAAUCGUAUGCAUAAAAAUCCCCUUUUGAGCAUUUGGAAUAUCAAUUUAUUUAGAAUUUUUUUUUUUCAAAAAGUACUCUCUGUUCAUAAAAAAAAUCUUACUCAUCAAAAGAAUUAUUCCAAAAAAGGUUAUUUUUGGUUUUUUUUUUAAAUUAUUUAUGAUGGUAGUAAAAAAUGGCAAUACGUUCUGAAGUCUGCAUCAUAAUUAUAUUACUGAAAAUAUGUAUAUAGCAACAAAACAAUAUCGAUUUUUAAUAACCGUGCACAUCAAUGAUCAAUUAUCUAUGCAUUUAUAUUAAUUUACAGAUUAAUAUAAAUGCAUAGAAUUUACAGAUAAUAUAAUUUACAAAUUUAUAUUAAUUUAUAUAUUAAUAUAAUUUAUAGAUUAAUAUAAAAUUUGUAAAUGAAACGUAAACUAACCAGAAUCAGUAUAAAACUAUGAAUACGAUAAGGAAAAUUAACUGGUACAGAUAAGGCGCUUCCAAUAGCCCAACUUUACUCCACUUUGAAAGGCAGUAGGUUCUUUGGCUAAUGCUUUAAGGGGAAAAGGUUCGAUCCCUAGCCGACAUGGGGUACCUUUGGAUUAGUAGUAGAGCAAUAUCUGAAAGAUCAAAUAAAAAUAUUAAUUAGAAGAAAAAAAUAAUUACAAUUUGUUUCAGUCAGUUUGGUAAUCAGUAAAUUAUCUGAAAUUUUAUGGUUGGCUAAAAGAAUUUUGACAUUGGUGGUAUGGGUUUGAUGAUUUCAAUUAUCCAUACAAAAUGUUUAUUUUAUACGGCAUAGAAUUAAUCAGGAUCAGACUGCUUCAAACAAUAAUUAUUUAACUCACCAUACAAUCUUGAAAAUGUUAAAGACCAGACAAGCUUUGCACCAGAUUGGCCCGCAAACGGGUUUGGCUCCAAAUUAUCUGUUGUCACGUUCAACAGAAAAAGCACUAGAUCCCUACGGGCAUGAAAAGCAGCAACAUGGAUCGGCAGCUCGCCGCUGACAUUGGAAAUGUUGGCCGAAUCUGGAUUUUUGCUCACAAGUAUCCUGGCCCCAACAACAUUGCCGACCCUUGCAGCUGCGUGGAGGGCUGUUUCCCCUUGGAAGCCUCUCCGAGUUAGUGCCUCAUCAGGCAUCAUUCCCAUUAACCUAGUCAAUAUUAAAUUUGAUUUCUUCCCUUCUUGAGCCACUAAAAUUAGUACCGUAUCUCCACCAUCCGUAAUUGGUUCCGUUUGAGCUGUUUGGAUUUUUUCCAAAACUUCUUCGAGCAAUUUCCAGUCAUUCCUGCGUAUUGUUUGCUGAAGUUGCAGCUUGUGGUCUAAAUUUCCAUCCUCUGGUCGAGUUCUUAAUAAUUUGGAAACACAAAAACAGCACUAACAUUACUAAUUAAUAGCAUGAUCGAUGCCUCUAACAAAAAUUUAUUAUAAAAAUAACGGAAAUUAUUAACAAUACCUGCAGGUACUUCGAUUAUACUAUGUGAUGAGGAGGAGGCCAUUGUAACCUGGAACUCUUUAUUUAAUUAGCAAAAAAAAAGAAGAGGAUAUGUGCAAUUGUUUGUCUAACUUAUAACUACACAAUUCAUUCUUUUAUAUAAUUGGUGGUCCUAAAGCAUUUUGUUCUUUUGCUUUUAGACCAAAAAUGAGGCUAAAGUAAAAACAUAUUCUCGGGGUAGGGCCUAUAUUUUGGAAGGCUUUUAAUUAUUCGGUCUCAAUUUUGGUGUUGGAGCACCGUUAUGCUACUAAGGAGUUUUAAAAAAAUUUAAUAAAAAUUUUGAAAAAAUAUCUAAAUAAUAAGAGAAAUAAGAUGGAUUAAUUAUAUAAAUAUAAAAUUACUAACUAUUAUUACUUCAUCAGUUACACUGUUAUUACGUUAAUAUAAAUGCAUAGAAAUUAUAUAAAAUUUCCAUGAAAGAGGCUAGAGAGGGGCAUUAUUGUUCUUUCGAGUUGACCACAUUGAGUCUCAUGGUUCAAGAUUAAUUUGUAAAAUUUAAGCUAUGAUAUAAUUUAUAAAAUUUAGGACAUAAAAUUUAUAAUUUGUAAUAUUUAAGUGUUAAAAUUUAUACAUAUAAUUUGUUAAAUUGUAGAUACAAUUUUAAAAUUUAAAAAAAUAUAAAUACAAUUUAGAAAAUUUAAGUUGUAAUAUAAAUUUUUAAAAUUGUGAAACGAAUUUUAAUUUAUUUAUUUUUUCUAGUUUUUUUUACAAAUCUUGAUUAAAUUACUUUUCAAUAAAUUUUCUUACUCAUAAUAAUUUUAAAAAUAAUGGGUCUUUUUUUUUCUUUAUUUCUUUUUCAAUUUUUUCCUCCUCCUUUGGUAUGUUCUUCCAAUAUAAAAAGGGUAUUAUUAUUUAAUUACUUAAAUUUUGGGCACUUUUGUCAAUUGUUUAAAAGUUUAAUGCUAUUUUUUUUAAAAUAUAAUUUGUAUGUUUAAAAGUUUAUUGUUUUUUUGGUAAUUAAGUUUAUUUUUUAAUUUUUAAAUAAAAAAAAUUGUAUUUGAUAAUCUUUGUAUUAAUAUUUAAUUUUAAUAAUUUAACGUAUACUAAUUAUUUAUAAGGAUUUAUACAGAUUUAAUAUGUCAAAAUAAGUAUUUAUACAAAUUUUAUACGAAUUUAAUAAGUCAAACACGAUCAAAAUCGUAUACAAUUCUUGUAUGGCCGAAAAUUUAGGUAUCCUGACUAAUUUUGAUCGGAUGUAUAGUAAAUUGUAAGCCUAAAUAUUUGAAGGGUCAAAUUAUAAAUUCGAUAAUACUUAGUGUAUUUAGCCCUUAUUACAAUCUAGAAUCCCUUCUAAUCAUUUUAUCUCCUUGUUUCAAUGGCUUCUCUAAGUAACCAAAUUAAUUCCUCUUAUUAUGUUUCUUUUCAAAUCUUCACUCAUUGUUACUUACUAUCUUUGUAAUUGCAAUCUUUGUAAGCAAUUUUUAGUUUCGUGUUAAUAAAAAUUGUACUUGUAUAACUCAAUGUAAUUGUAUCAAUCUUUUUGUAUUUCAAGAAGCCUUUGAGUCUAUAUAAUCAAUUGCUUGAUUAUAUGACAUAGAAUACACAAUUGCUUGAUUCUUAAUAAAUAGUUUAUUUAUCAAAUUAUUUAUUAUUUAAAUAAUUAUUUAAUAAUAUUAUUAAAUUAAUAGUUAGCUUUUUGUCCGCGUGAGAGUAUAAAAAUAUCAUUAAUUAAUAAGAUAAUAUCACGAGUUACUUUUAGAAUGACUAUAUAAUCAAAAUGUCAGAAUGAAAUAUUCUUGACGUGGAAUACCAAUAAAUAACUAAAUUUUGGGCCUCACAUAUCAGGCGGGGUCCACAAUAUACAUGUGUGUGUAUAUAAAUAUUAUGUGAUUUUUUUAUGUGAUAAUAACAUAAACUUUUUAGUUUGCUUCAUUCAAGUAAGUAUUAGUACUAUCCUAUUUGGGAAUAUGUGAAGCUACACGUCAAGAAUAAACCUUUUACUUUUGCCAUUUAUUUUGUUGGACAAUUUUUUAUUUUUUAACGUCUUUUGACAGACAGAAGAAGAAAUAUACAGUAGAUCGAAUAAGUAGUUUUGGCCAGGUGUUCAAGAACAAAGUUGGUAUAGGGAUAUUAAAUAAUUAAUUGUCCACACCAGAACCAACUUUGUUUACUUCCUUGGCUAUAGUUGAAGGUUGGGAAAAUGAUUUCAUACGUGAUUAAUGGCUCUAGCCUUGAUUUUUCUUUCUUUAGUGCAUUCUUUUGCCUUUUUAUCAUGUCCCUCAUGUCUUGGAAAUAGUGUGUGUUUGCAUGAGACUCGUGCAUUGGAUACUGCCUUUAUAGUUUACUUGUAUAAAAAGAAAUUAAACUCUAAUAGCAGGAAAAUGGUGCCAUAGUUAAUACAAAACCUUUGGCUCUCAUAGGAGAAUCCUGAAUGUAAGUUAAUUACUUGUAUAACGAAAAUCUAAUCCCUUCACAAAAUUCUCAUUUGCAUCUAAUAUUUAUAUAUGUUGAGGAUAUCAUAACAAAAACGUUUUCAUAAUCUCUACAAUGUGACAGCUUUAAUAUAUAAUUCAAACAAUAUCACCAAUUUGCUGAUUUGAAAUUCAAAAUCCACACAAGAUAAUAAUAUUUCCACAUGAAAAUCAUCGCUAUAGUUCAUUACAAUUUACAUCUAUAUACAUCUAUAACGACAAUUUUCAUGUAAAAAUAUCAAAAAGUGUUGUACUAAUAUCAAUUUCCUAUCUUUGAUUGAAAUUUUGAGUUUGGGUUAGUUCAAUAUACAAUUUAUUGUUUAUUCAUGGCCUAAUUGUAAGGAUUUUAAAUCCAUUUGCUUUACAAAAAACAAAAAACAAUUUCCUAUUAAUUUUGGCCAGUUUGAAAAUUUAAAUCUAUAAAACAAACUUGGGAGGAUUAAAUUCAAUUUCCAGUCUUUUAUUUAUGAGCUUUUUAGGAGAAAAAGGAAAAGAAGAGAGAAAUUUUAAAUAAAUUCUCUUCAAAAAUUGAGAAGAUUUGGAAGAAAAUUAAUUAAAGACUUGAACUGUGUUUGAGUUUGAAAGAGAGAGAACUCAAUUCUUCCCAAGUUUGGAAAAGAAAAUAUUUGAAAAAAAAAUGUUUAAAAUGUCUCUAUAUAUUUUCUUUUCUCUCUUCUAAAAAAAUUCACAAACAAACAAGGGACUUUUAAUAACUUUCUUAUCUAUAUAUAGCUCAUUUACGGUAGUUUUCUACCUAUAUAUAGCUCUUAAUGGAAGUGAUUGUUCCAUCAAUCUUUCUUACAAGAGUAUGAUCUCUCUCCCAAGACUUAUGCAAGUAUUGUUCUUCCGAUAUACUUCUGUAUUUUCUUUUAAUUAUUUAUGGAUAUAUAAAAGGUUAGUUUUAUUUAUACGUACAAAUCAUAAGAGAUUUUUUUUCAUUCAUGCAGAUGAUGCUGUCGGCAAUGUCAGGAAACAGAAUGAGGGGGCUUGUUGCAGUUGUAGUCAUGCUCGUGUUGACUGGCUUCGUGUAUGGAGAUUAUGCAACUGCAGGCAGUAGUAAUUAUUUGCUUCUGCCAACACAAAAAGAUAAUGUAAAUGCUAAUUUCCCAACAGUGUCCCUCAGAACUGUUGGUAUUUCCAGAGAAAUAUUCAAAAAAUUCAUCAAGGACAUCCUAGAUCUCGUGGUAAGCGGACCGCCUGUUCAUGGAUUAUUGAGAUUGCGCGACAACUCAACGGUGCCAAUUUCUCAACGGUUUAUUCUGGUGGAACUUUAUAAUUAUGAAGCAACACCUAUUACUGUGGCAAUAGAUGUCGUAAAUUUAUACGUGGUGGGUUAUCGGACCGGAGAUCAGUUUUACUACUUUAUUGAUUCUUCUGCUGACACAUCUGGUAUUUUCAGUGAUUUAGAACAUAUUGAGCUCCCAUUUAACAGUACUUAUGGAGCUCUCGCCCAAGAGGCAGGAAAUAGAACUGUUAUUCCCUUGGGGAUAGCUGAACUAGAUCAAUCCAUCGAAGACCUUCGUCACUACAGAAGACCAGUCUUGGCUCGUUGCUUUACUGUUGUCAUUCAGAUGAUUUCAGAGGCCGUAAGAUUCAGGUAGUUAGCUAGCUAGACUUAAUUUAUUAAGAGCAUUUAUAUAACUAGACAAAAAAUGUCUACUUUAUCUAAACAAAGUAUUAAUGGUUGUACUGUAUAACACAAGCUAUUAAACAUUUGUCAAGAUAAAUUAAAUAGAUUUUGUCUAGUUACCUAAAAUAAUUCGUUACGAAAAAAGUAUAUAUUGUAAAUUUAUUUAUCCUAACAUUAUUCAUUACAAAAAAUGGUAUAUAUAGUGAAUUUAUUUAUCAAAUUUUUUUGUUGCCAGUAUUUACAUUGAUAAUUACUAUCGAUAUAUUUUUUAAGUGUGUAUAUAAUAUGUUGAAUGAAACCCCACGUAUUCAUAUAUUUUACGACUAUAAUUUGGCACAAAACUUUCAGAAUACAUAUUACAACUCUUUUCAUUAACUAGUUAUCGCUACAAAUAGUUGCGACGCAUGUGGAGAAAUAAUUAUAUAUACAUAUACAAAUAAAUAUUACUCAACAUAUAUGUUCUUAUUAUAUAUAUAUAUAUAUAUAUAUAUAUAUAUAUAUAUAUUGUAUAAUUGUACGGUCAUGAUACGACUUUGCUGCUUUUUAAAAAAUGUACAGAUAUAUCGAGGAUCGACUGUUGUCAACUAUUGGACUUGAUGGAAGCAGAGGAAACACUUACCCAAGUGCUACCAUGAUCUCACUAGAGAAUAACUGGGAUGCCCUCUCGACAAGAAUUCAACAAUCGGUUGGAGGGCGAUUUACUCCGGCUGUUCCGUUAAUGAAUCGUGAGGAUCAACUGGUGUCGGUCAGCUCGGUGACUCCACGGUUGAUUUUAAACAUUGCGGUCAUGCUUUUCGUGUGCAAUGACCCUAAUCCAAAUCAACUCUCUCCAAUGAGGCAUGUAAAUGUUGAUCGUGUUAUGGGCAUUAAUGAUGACCAUAUUUGUUCAGUCAUUCCAGAACCUACCAUCCGUAUUAGUGGUCGAAACGGUCUUUGUGUAGAUGUAAAGGAUGACCGUUUCAAUGACGGAAAUCCAUUAAUUCUCUGGCCAUGUAAAUCUAAUGAAGACCCGAAUCAACUAUGGACCUUGAAAACUGAUGGUACAAUUCGAUCUAACGGGAAGUGCAUGACUGCCUAUGGAUUUAAACCCGGACAAUACGUAAUGAUUUAUAAUUGUGAAACUGCUGCGCCUACUGCUACCAAGUGGCAAGUAUGGGACAACGGAACAAUUGUAAAUCCCGAGUCUGGAGUAGUGUUGACAGCAGGGUCAUCAGGGAGCAGUGGCACCGAACUCACUGUGGCCAAAAAUAUCUACGCCUCCCACCAAGGUUGGCUCCUUAGCAAUAACACCGCACCCAUUGUGACGCCUAUUAUUGGGUUUAAGGAUCUUUGCUUGCAAGCAAAUUACGGAAAUACUGUGUGGAUAGAGGAGUGUGUGACCAACAAAAUUACACAAGAAUGGGCAAUUUAUCCAGAUGGUACUAUACGGCCUAAUGGGAACAAAGACAACUGCCUCACUUGGGAAUCAUAUCCAAGAGGAGAAAAUGUGGUGAUUGAUCCAUGUGAUGGCGGAGCUGGUCAACGCUGGCAGUUUAAUAUUGAUGGCACCAUUUCGAAUUUG